rnacentral:ncRNA from 1 species
UGAUAGAGGCGCGGUUACCAUCAGUACCCUCCGUCCCCCGGCAGGAACCGGGGAGGGGAAAGGGGUCGCCGCCGAAGACUUCGUCCGUUUCCUGCCGGGCGGGGCUCUGGGCCGUCGGAUAAUAUCCGCCGGACUGUCGCGAUUCUUUUUCGCGGAGUGCUGUC